rnacentral:rRNA from 1 species
CGACCGGCGCACGGUGAGUAACGCGUAUCCAACCUGCCCACCACUUGGGGAUAACCUUGCGAAAGUAAGACUAAUACCCAAUGAUAUCUCUAGAAGACAUCUGAAAGAGAUUAAAGAUUUAUCGGUGAUGGAUGGGGAUGCGUCUGAUUAGCUUGUUGGCGGGGUAACGGCCCACCAAGGCAACGAUCAGUAGGGGUUCUGAGAGGAAGGUCCCCCACAUUGGAACUGAGACACGGUCCAA